UACGUAGGGUGCGAGCGUUAAUCGGAAUUACUGGGCGUAAAGCGUGCGUAGGCGGUUCGUUAAGUUUGCGGUGAAAGCCCCGGGCUUAACCUGGGAAUGGCAUUUGGGACUGCACGGCUAGAGUACGGCAGAGGAGACUAGAAUUCCUGGUGUAGCAGUGAAAUGCGUAGAUAUCAGGAGGAAUACCGAUGGCGAAGGCAGGUCUCUGGGUCGAUACUGACGCUCAUGCACGAAAGCGUGGGGAGCAAACAGG
rnacentral:rRNA from 1 species